rnacentral:tRNA from 1 species
GGCAAGAUGGCCGAGCGGUCUAAGGCGCUGUGUUCAGGUCGCAGUCUCGCAAGAGGCGUGGGUUCGAAUCCCACUCUUGUCA